rnacentral:rRNA from 1 species
UACGUAGGGUGCGAGCGUUGUCCGGAAUUACUGGGCGUAAAGAGCUCGUAGGUGGUUUGUCGCGUUGUCCGUGAAAACUCACAACUCAAUUGUGGGCGUGCGGGCGAUACGGGCAGACUUGGAGUACUGCAGGGGAGACUGGAAUUCCUGGUGUAGCGGUGGAAUGCGCAGAUAUCCAGGAGGAACACCGGUGGCGAAGGCGGGUCUCUGGGGCAAUAACUGACGCUGAGGAGCGAAAGCGUGGGGAGCGAACAGG